ACUUAAGUCUAGGAGAACACUCAUUCCAAUCUGAAAUUUGUUAACUUCAUUGACAUUUCAUUGUCAAUUUGACAAAAGUUCAUCAAAAUCUCGCCAGGAAUAUCAAAAACAACAAAUCAUUGUGGCUAACAACAACAACAACAAAAACAACACCUUGCCAGGAAAGGACCAAAAACGUAUCUUGAUAAAUGUGGAUGCUGCCGUUGUUGCUGUUGAUUUUAUUACCCAUGGCAGGCCUGUCAAAAUUACAAAUGGACCAUAAAUAAAAACAUCAUUUUUUGCGCACAAAAUCCAACUGGCCAGCAACAACAACAAAACGCCAAAACUGUCACCGACAUGAAAAUCUCUAGAUGGAGCCAUAAGUCUCGCUCGUAUCUCGCCCGCCCUCGGAGUGAACGUCUGUUUGUUAAUGUGAUCUCGUUCAUAAAAAUAGCAGCGCGCAGAUAACUUGAGGCCAGGAUGUAGCUGCAGGGGUAGCUGCCACAAACAGACAUAAACGACUUGCAACAUUAUAAUUUGUAUGUUAAAACAUCGUAAAUUACUUAAAUGUCACUCCGUCGAA